CGUCGGCAGAAUCAUCCAGGACAAAAAAGCAUCACCAUUUAUGCAUUGCCACCUGAAAUGAAAUCUUGUCAUCUGCUAAGAAGGCCUACGAGCCGAAAGCCGUCAGCACCGGCCCCUACUGCCAUUUGAGAUACGGAAAACGUCUGAAAUACACGCAAUAUUACAAGUGGGUACGCGUGCACAAAUUAAUGUCCAAGCAUAAUGGUUCCGUGGAAGUUUUGCUUUGAAAGUGCCCGACGACGAUGAAGGAAC
rnacentral:lncRNA from 1 species